rnacentral:rRNA from 1 species
GAUGAACGCUGGCGGCGUGCCUAAUACAUGCCAGUCGAGCGAACAGACGAGGAGCUUGCUCCUCUGACGUUAGCGGCGGACGGGUGAGUAACACGUGGAUAACCUACCUAUAAGACUGGGAUAACUUCGGGAAACCGGAGCUAAUACCGGAUAAUAUAUUGAACCGCAUGGUUCAAUAGUGAAAGACGGUUUUGCUGUCACUUAUAGAUGGAUCCGCGCCGCAUUAGCUAGUUGGUAAGGUAACGGCUUACCAAGGCAACGAUGCGUAGCCGACCUGAGAGGGGGUGCGCCAACACUGAAACUGAGACACGUCCCAGACCCCAAGGGGGGGCAGCAGUGGGAAAUCUUCCGAAAGGGGCGAAAGCCUGACGGAGAAACGCCGGGUGAAUGAAGAAGGUCUGCGGUUCGAAAAACUCUGUUAUUGGGGAAAAAAAAAUGGGUAAGAAACUAUGCACGUCUUGACGGUCCAAAAUCAGAAAGCCCCGGCUAACUACG